CUCCUUUGACGUUAGCGGCGGACGGGUGAGUAACACGUGGGUAACCUACCUAUAAGACUGGGAUAACUUAGGGAAACCGGAGCUAAUACCGGAUAAUAUUUCGAACCGCAUGGUUCGAUAGUGAAAGGUGGUUUUGCUAUCACUUAUAGAUGGACCCGCGCCGUAUUAGCUAGUUGGUAAGGUAACGGCUUACCAAGGCGACGAUACGUAGCCGACCUGAGAGGGUGAUCGGCCACACUGGAACUGAGGCACGGUCCAGACUCCUACGGGAGGCAGCAGCC
rnacentral:rRNA from 1 species